GCAUUGGUGGUUCAGUGGUAGAAUUCUAGCUUGCCAUGUUGGAGCCUGGGGUCGAUUCCCAGCCAAUGCA
rnacentral:tRNA from 1 species